rnacentral:rRNA from 1 species
CAUGCAAGUCGAGCGGUAGCACAGAGAGCUUGCUCUCGGGUGACGAGCGGCGGACGGGUGAGUAAUGUCUGGGAAACUGCCUGAUGGAGGGGGAUAACUACUGGAAACGGUAGCUAAUACCGCAUAACGUCGCAAGACCAAAGUGGGGGACCUUCGGGCCUCAUGCCAUCAGAUGUGCCCAGAUGGGAUUAGCUGGUAGGUGGGGUAACGGCUCACCUAGGCGACGAUCCCUAGCUGGUCUGAGAGGAUGACCAGCCACACUGGAACUGAGACACGGUCCAGACUCCUACGGGAGGCAGCAGUGGGGAAUAUUGCACAAUGGGCGCAAGCCUGAUGCAGCCAUGCCGCGUGUGUGAAGAAGGCCUUCGGGUUGUAAAGCACUUUCAGCGGGGAGGAAGGCGGUGAGGUUAAUAACCUUGUCGAUUGACGUUACCCGCAGAAGAAGCACCGGCUAACUCCGUGCCAGCAGCCGCGGUAAUACGGAGGGUGCAAGCGUUAAUCGGAAUUACUGGGCGUAAAGCGCACGCAGGCGGUCUGUCAAGUCGGAUGUGAAAUCCCCGGGCUCAACCUGGGAACUGCAUUCGAAACUGGCAGGCUAGAGUCUUGUAGAGGGGGGUAGAAUUCCAGGUGUAGCGGUGAAAUGCGUAGAGAUCUGGAGGAAUACCGGUGGCGAAGGCGGCCCCCUGGACAAAGACUGACGCUCAGGUGCGAAAGCGUGGGGAGCAAACAGGAUUAGAUACCCUGGUAGUCCACGCUGUAAACGAUGUCGAUUUGGAGGUUGUGCCCUUGAGGCGUGGCUUCCGGAGCUAACGCGUUAAAUCGACCGCCUGGGGAGUACGGCCGCAAGGUUAAAACUCAAAUGAAUUGACGGGGGCCCGCACAAGCGGUGGAGCAUGUGGUUUAAUUCGAUGCAACGCGAAGAACCUUACCUGGUCUUGACAUCCACAGAACUUAGCAGAGAUGCUUUGGUGCCUUCGGGAACUGUGAGACAGGUGCUGCAUGGCUGUCGUCAGCUCGUGUUGUGAAAUGUUGGGUUAAGUCCCGCAACGAGCGCAACCCUUAUCCUUUGUUGCCAGCGGUUAGGCCGGGAACUCAAAGGAGACUGCCAGUGAUAAACUGGAGGAAGGUGGGGAUGACGUCAAGUCAUCAUGGCCCUUACGACCAGGGCUACACACGUGCUACAAUGGCAUAUACAAAGAGAAGCGACCUCGCGAGAGCAAGCGGACCUCAUAAAGUAUGUCGUAGUCCGGAUUGGAGUCUGCAACUCGACUCCAUGAAGUCGGAAUCGCUAGUAAUCGUAGAUCAGAAUGCUACGGUGAAUACGUUCCCGGGCCUUGUACACACCGCCCGUCACACCAUGGGAGUGGGUUGCAAAAGAAGUAGGUAGCUUAACCUUCGGGAGGGCGCUACC